rnacentral:rRNA from 1 species
UACGUAGGGGGCGAGCGUUGUCCGGAUUUAUUGGGCGUAAAGAGCUCGUAGGCGGUUUGGUAAGUUGGAUGUGAAAUCUCCAGGCUCAACUUGGAGGGGUCAUUCGAUACUGCCAUGACUAGAGUUCGGUAGGGGAGUGUGGAAUUCCUGGUGGAGCGGUGAAAUGCGCAGAUAUCAGGAGGAACACCCGUAGCGAAGGCGGCACUCUGGGCCGGAACUGACGCUGAGGAGCGAAAGCGUGGGGAGCGAACAGGG